AGUGAACGCUGGCGGUAGGCCUAACACAUGCAAGUCGAACGGCAGCACAGUAAGAUCUUGCUCUUACGGGUGGCGAGUGGCGGACGGGUGAGGAAUACAUCGGCAUCUACUUUUUCGUGGAGGAUAACGUAGGGCAACUUACGCUAAUACCGCAUACGACCUACGGGUGAAAUCAGGGGAUCUUCGGACCUUGCGCGAUUGAAUGAGCCGAUGUCGGAUUAGCUAGGUGGGUGGGUAAAGGCCCACCAAGGCGACGAUCCGUAGCUGGUCUGAGAGGAUGAUCAGCCACACUGGAACUGAGACACGGUCCAGACUCCUACGGGAGGCAGCAGUGGGGAAUAUUGGACAAUGGGCGCAAGCCUGAUCCAGCCAUACCGCGUGGGUGAAGAAGGCCUUCGGGUUGUAAAGCCCUUUUAUUGGGAAAGAAAAGCAGCAGGUUAAUACCCCGCUGUUCUGACGGUACCCAAAGAAUAAGCACCGGCUAACUUCGUG
rnacentral:rRNA from 1 species